UUUUUAACGUUGGCUUUCCACUCCUUUUACUCUUCUUGAUAUAUCCCCAAUACCAUAUCAUUCUCUUCAUCAUCACCAAUUUUUCUCUCACUCCCCAACCCCCUUCAAGAUAGGCGAGACUCUUGGGGGAUAAAGAGAAUAGUUGAGAGUCACCGGCACGCACCCACACGAAAUCAAAUUUCAUAUAUCUCCCUCUUUCACUUGGAAGUAUCGAUCAAGAUUUGCUAACAAAGGUAGCUUCUUUUUUGAGGGGAAUGUUGUCUGGCUCGAGGACUUUUUCUUGAUCAAUCUAAUCGAACUUUCUACCUGUAGAUCUAGUAUCUUAUUUAAGAUUGAUCACGAAUUAGGGUUGUCGGACCAGGCUUCAUUCCCCCCAAUCAUUGCUUCCAUCUCAAGGGCUUGACCAUGGGCUGUUGCAUGUACAGAGAAAAGGGCAUGUGCCGUGUGAAGAUGUACAAGCAAGCAAGUGAAGCGCUUUCUGUCAUUGUUUGAAGAGUCUCUCGAUUCUCCAUAGAAGAGAUAGAAAACUUGGUGGUACUGAAAAUCUAGACGUACUUGCAUACUCGUGAUAUGAAUUUUGGAUACAACAUUUUGGCUCAGAUAUUUAAAGUUUUCUAUAGUCGUGCCCUUGGUUUCUUUGCUUGCUCUUUCAGAAGAGCUUUGCUGUUUUCUAAAAUCAAAGCUGGAUGUCUGAACAAGGGAGUUUGUGCCCGCGUGUUUUGUGUCACUCUCACAUUACAUGCAACAACCUGUCUUGGCAUGCAAAGUUAUCUCUCGAUUACAUUUCGAAUUCUUUUCGAACAAGAGAUAUCGUUGUGAACUCCUCAGUUAAAGCCUACUGGAUCUAAAGUUACAAGUUCCCAUUCCUGAUAGCUCACAAAAUCCUCUUGUUUCUUAAUUUUAACUCUACUAGCUAGAAAGGAAUGGAUAAUGAUUCCUUUUUCACCAUUUGAUUAUAUAUGCCACACGUUAAAUAGCAGGUUCAUAAUUGAAGUCUCCCCGCAAUGUGGAAUAUGGAUGUCAUACUUUUCCAGCGUAAAGCUUGAUUGCUUUCUAGAGGAUCAGUAUGCAGCCAACUCUGCCUCUUCCCUCUGCAAAAUCUCUUCAAAUUUCUAACCUACAACAAUUCAUCAUAUAAGUUAUUUGUUUUUGAGUAAGUUUACUUAGCUUCUUUUAUUGCUUUAUUAUAUUGUUUUGUAUCUUUUUAAUUAUAAUAAGUUGUGAAAAGUUAGGGUUAGGGUUUAUAUGAUGUUAGUUGAUAUAUGAGUAAUUUUUUUGAAUUAUUUGUGUAUGGUUAAUAUUAUAUAAAUAUAAAUACGUCUUGAUAAGUAUUUUUAUUUGAUUGAUGAGUUUUGAAUAAAAGACCUUGGGGAAUAUUGAUAUUAGCAAGAAAAUAGGGAAUUAUUGAAGAAUUGUAUAGAAAGAAUUAUGUUGAGGUCGAAGAUGGACGAAUUACAGUUUGAUCCCUAUUUUUGGAAAAUUAUGGUUCUGCCCUUGAAUUCUAAAAACUUAUUGUUUAGUCCUUGGUUAUAUUUUUCAGAUAGGUUUUGCUAAAUAGUCAAGAUUUAUUUAUGUUUAUUAUCAAUUGUAUUGCUUUCAUUUGAAUUUGGAAUUAAUUUUAUUAUACGUUGAAA